rnacentral:tRNA from 1 species
GCCCUCGUCGCCAAACUGGAUUAAGGCAUCCGUCUUCUAAACGGAUCAUUGCAGGUUCGAGUCCUGCCGGUGGCGCCA